AUACUUACCUGGAAGGUGAAAUACCAUGAUCACAAAGGUGGUUUCCCCAGGGCAAGGUUUAUCCAUUGCACUCCGGAUGUGCUGACCCCUGCGAUUUCCCCAAAUAUGGGAAAUUCAACUACAUAAUUUUUGGUAACAGGGGACUGUAUUCAUGCUCUUCCCUG